ACGGAGGAUGCAAGCGUUAUAAGGAUUUAUUAGGUUUAAAGGGUGCGUAGGCGGAGACUUAAGUCAGUGGUAAAAGGCAAUAGCUUAACUAAUGUAAGACAUUGAUACUGGGUUUCUUGAGUUCGGUAGAGGUAGGCGGAAUGUGUUGUGGAGCGUUGAAAUGCAUAUAUAUAACACAGAACACCGAUUGCGUAGGCAUCUUACUAUGCCAUUUCUCACGCUGAUACACGAAAGCGUGGUGAUCAAACAU
rnacentral:rRNA from 1 species